GGGGUAACCUGCCUUAUAGUGGGGGAUAGCCUUUCGAAAGGAAGAUUAAUACCGCAUAAGAUUGUAGUAUCGCAUGAUAUAGCAAUUAAAGGAGCAAUUCGCUAUAAGAUGGACCCGCGUCGCAUUAGCUAGUUGGUGAGGUAAUGGCUCACCAAGGCGACGAUGCGUAGCCGACCUGAGAGGGUGAUCGGCCACAUUGGGACUGAGACACGGCCCAGACUCCUACGGGAGGCAGCAUG
rnacentral:rRNA from 1 species